rnacentral:tRNA from 1 species
GCGCGGUUAGCUCAGUUGGUAGAGUAUCUCCUUGACGUGGAGAGGGUCAGAGGUUCGAGCCCUCUACCGCGCA